GGAUUGAAAUACCGGUUCUCGUACGAUAACCGAAGUUAAGCAACGUCGAGCCUAGUCAGUAUCUAGAUGGGUCACCGCUUGGGAAUACCAGGUGCUGUAAU